ACGCUCGACACCUACGGGAGGUAGCGGUGGGGAAUAUUGCACAAUGGGGGAAACCCUGAUGCAGCGACGCCGCGUGAAGGAAGAAGUAUCUCGGUAUGUAAACUUCUAUCAGCAGGGAAGAAAAUGACGGUACCUGACUAAGAAGCCCCGGCUAACUACGUGCCAGCAGCCGACGGUAAUCUGAGGCGGGCUGGCAAGGC
rnacentral:rRNA from 1 species